rnacentral:rRNA from 1 species
CACGGAGUUAGCCGGUGCUUCUUCUGCGGGUAACGUCAAUUGCUGAGGUUAUUAACCUCAGCACCUUCCUCCCCGCUGAAAGUACUUUACAACCCGAAGGCCUUCUUCAUACACGCGGCAUGGCUGCAUCAGGCUUGCGCCCAUUGUGCAAUAUUCCCCACUGCUGCCUCCCGUAGGAGUCUGGACCGUGUCUCAGUUCCAGUGUGGCUGGUCAUCCUCUCAGACCAGCUAGGGAUCGUCGCCUAGGUGAGCCGUUACCCCACCUACUAGCUAAUCCCAUCUGGGCACAUCUGAUGGCAAGAGGCCCGAAGGUCCCCCUCUUUGGUCUUGCGACGUUAUGCGGUAUUAGCUACCGUUUCCAGUAGUUAUCCCCCUCAUCAGGCAGUUUCCCAGACAUUUACUCACCCGUCCGCCGCUCGUCAGCAGAGUAGCAAGCUACUCCCCUGUUACCCGCUCGACCUUGCCAUGUGUUAGGCCUGCCGCCAGCGUUC